rnacentral:rRNA from 1 species
GAGACAGCAGUCGCCGCGGUAAUACGAGGGGGGCAAGCGUUGUUCGGAAUUAUUGGGCGUAAAGCGUGCGCAGGCGGUUAUGUAAGACAGUUGUGAAAUCCCCGGGCUCAACCUGGGAACUGCAUCUGUGACUGCAUAGCUAGAGUACGGUAGAGGGGGAUGGAAUUCCGCGUGUAGCAGUGAAAUGCGUAGAUAUGCGGAGGAACACCGAUGGCGAAGGCAAUCCCCUGGACCUGUACUGACGCUCAUGCACGAAAGCGUGGGGAGCAAACAGGAUUAGAUACCCGCGUAGUCCCUGUCUCUUAUAC